GUCCCUGUAGCGUAAUGGAUAGCGCGUUGGACUUCCAAUCCAAAGUUCGUGGGUUCAAAUCCCGGCCUGUGGCC